rnacentral:rRNA from 1 species
AGCGAACGCUGGCGGCAGGCCUAACACAUGCAAGUCGAACGAAGUCUUCGGACUUAGUGGCGGACGAGUGAGUAACACGUGGGAACGUGCCUUUAGGUUCGGAAUAACUCAGGGAAACUUGUGCUAAUACCGAAUGUGCCCUUCUGGGGAAAGAUUUAUCGCCUUUAGAGCGGCCCGCGUCUGAUUAGCUAGUUGGUGAGGUAAAGGCUCACCAAGGCGACGAUCAGUAGCUGGUCUGAGAGGACGAUCAGCCACAUUGGUACUGAGACACGGCCCAAACUCCUACGGGAGGCAGCAGUGGGGAAUCUUGCGCAAUGGGCGAAAGCCUGACGCAGCCAUGCCGCGUGAAUGAUGAAGGUCUUAGGAUUGUAAAAUUCUUUCACCGGGGACGAUAAUGACGGUACCCGGAGAAGAAGCCCCGGCUAACUUCGUGCCAGCCGCCGCGGUAAUAC